rnacentral:rRNA from 1 species
CCUUUAGAGUUUGAUCCUGGCUCAGAUUGAACGCUGGCGGCAGGCCUAACACAUGCAAGUCGAGCGGUAACAUUUCUAGCUUGCUAGAAGAUGACGAGCGGCGGACGGGUGAGUAAUGCUUGGGAAUAUGCCUUAGGGUGGGGGACAACAGUUGGAAACGACUGCUAAUACCGCAUAACGUCUACGGACCAAAGGGGGCUUCGGCUCUCGCCCUUAGAUUAGCCCAAGUGGGAUUAGCUAGUUGGUGAGGUAAUGGCUCACCAAGGCGACGAUCCCUAGCUGGUUUGAGAGGAUGAUCAGCCACACUGGAACUGAGACACGGUCCAGACUCCUACGGGAGGCAGCAGUGGGGAAUAUUGCACAAUGGGCGCAAGCCUGAUGCAGCCAUGCCGCGUGUGUGAAGAAGGCCUUAGGGUUGUAAAGCACUUUCAGUAAGGAGGAAAGGUUAGUAGUUAAUACCUGCUAGCUGUGACGUACU